rnacentral:rRNA from 1 species
UCAUUUAAAGAGUGCGUAAUAGCUCACUGGUCGAGUGAAGUUGCGCGGAAAAUUACCGGGGCUAAGUUAUACACCGAAAUUGCGGAUUCAUUAAGAAAUUAAUGAGUGGUAGAGGAGCGUUCUAUACAGGAUGAAGUAUGAUCGAGAGGACAUAUGGACAGUAUAGAAGAGAGAAUGCCGGAAUGAGUAGCGAGAGCAAAGUGAGAAUCUUUGCCGUCGAAAAUCUAAGGUUUCCUGGGGAAGGUUCGUCCGCCCAGGGUAAGUCGGGACCUAAGGUGAGGCCGAAGGGCGUAGCCGAUGGACAGCAGGUUAAGAUUCCUGCACCAGUAUACAUGUAUAAUGCAUAAGAGGACACAUUUGAAGAAGAUGAGCGAGGAAGAGGAAAAACUCGUAUGGCAACAUAUAGUGAAAUAAAGUAACGAAUCAUCAAGAGGCGAGUGGCGAGAAAAGUCUUAUGUAGUUGUGUAGACUGCCCGUACCGCAAACCGACACAGGUAGAUGAGGAGAGGAUCCUAAGACGAGCGGGAGAAGCAUUGUUAAGGAACUCGGCAAAUUGACCCCGUAACUUAGGGAUAAGGGGUGCUGGUGUAAAAGCCAGUCGCAGUAAAUAGGCCCAAGCAACUGUUUAACAAAAACACAGGUUUCUGCUAAAUCGCAAGAUGAAGUAUAGGAGCUGACUCCUGCCCAGUGCUGGAAGGUUAAGGGGAAAGGUUAGGAAUAAUUCAUUAUAUCCGAAGCUUUGAACUCAAGCCCCAGUGAACGGCGGCCGUAACUAUAACGGUCCUAAGGUAGCGAAAUUCCUUGUCAGGUAAGUUCUGACCCGCACGAAAGGAGUAAUGAUUUGGGCACUGUCUCAACAAUGUACCCGGCGAAAUUGUAGUACUAGUGAAGAUGCUAGUUACCUGCGACAAGACGGAAAGACCCCAUGGAGCUUUACUAUAGCCUGAUAUUGGGCUUUGGUAUCUUAUGUACAGGAUAGGUGGGAGACUAUGAGAUUAAGACGCAAGUCUUAAAGGAGUCGACCUUGGAAUACCACCCUUAAGAUAUUAGAGUUCUAACUUGUGAUCAUAAACUGGUCAGAGGACAUUGUCAGGUGGGUAGUUUGACUGGGGCGGUCACCUCCUAAAGAGUAACGGAGGUGCGCAAAGGUUUCCUCGGCACGGUCAGAAAUCGUGCUAAUGAGUGUAAAGGCAUAAGGAAGCUUAACUGAGAGAGAGACAUCUCGAGCAGAUACGAAAGUAGGUCUUAGUGAUCCGGUGGUAGAAAAUGGAAUUGCCAUCGCUCAACGGAUAAAAGUUACCCUGGGGAUAACAGGCUUAUCUCCCCCAAGAGUUCACAUCGACGGGGAGGUUUGGCACCUCGAUGUCGGCUCAUCGCAUCCUGGAGCGGAAGUACGUUCCAAGGGUUGGGCUGUUCGCCCAUUAAAGCGGUACGCGAGCUGGGUUCAGAACGUCGUGAGACAGUUCGGUCCCUAUCUGUCGCAGGCGCAGGAUAUUUGAAAGGAGCUGUCCUUAGUACGAGAGGACCAGGAUGGACAUACCAAUGGUGCAACAGUUGUCACACCAGUGGCACAGCUGUGUAGCUAAGUAUGGAAGGGAUAAACGCUGAAAGCAUCUAAGCGUGAAGCCCCCCUUAAGAUAAGAUAUCCCACAACGUCAAGUUGG